CCUGCCGUUGCCGGCGACCGGCGCACGGGUGAGUAACACGUAUGCAACCUGCCCGUGGCAGGGGGAUAAGCGGGGGAAACCCCGUCUAAUACCGCGUAACGCGGCCUUGGGGCAUCCCAAGGCCGCCAAAGGGAGCAAUCCCGGCCACGGAUGGGCAUGCGGCGCAUUAGCUAGUCGGCGGGGUAACGGCCCACCGAGGCGACGAUGCGUAGGGGUUCUGAGAGGAAGGCCCCCCACACUGGUACUAAGACACGGACCAGACUCCUACGGGAGGCAGCAG
rnacentral:rRNA from 1 species